UUUCCAGCAACGAAGUAUUUAAUAAAAUAAAGUAUUAUAUUAUAUCAAGAUAGUUUUAAUCCUGAAUUCAGUAUUUCCUUUAAGCUGUUCUUGUCCAACACUUGCAAGAAAUGUGAUGAAUACACGUGAAAAAGUCCACAGGAGAGGAUACAAGAGUUAUACCUUUGCAAAGUUGAUGCUGCAAAACAGCAGCUAAAAAAAAAAAAGAAAGAAAUUUUUUGCUAACUGUUGACUUACAGCAAGCUUUGCCUAUUCCUAUCUUAUCAACUGAAUGCAUAUUUUAUUUGAUGCAAUUAUGGACUUAUAAUUUUGGUAUUUAAGUCCUGCAUGAAAACAAUGAUGUUGUGAUGGACUUUCUGUAAUAUGCAUUUAUAAAGAAGAAAAUAAGGUAUUGUAGUUGCAUUUUGUAUUUCAGAAUGGAUUUAUCAUUAAAAUAUUAAAUGUUUAUUAUUAUUUUGAUUUGUAUACCAUUAUUUUCUUACUGCAUUGCAAUUAGAAUUUUUUUCAAGACUCAAGGAUUAAUAAAAAAUAAGAAAAACCCAACAAUGUUAUAAUUUUUUUAAUUAUAUUACAAAAUGGUUACAUUUCCUUUUACUUAAAUAUCUCAUUUUAUUUAAUAAUUGAAAUAUGCUAUUAUUGCUCUCAGCCUCUCAAUUUUAUUAUUGUCUUUUAUUUUAUUGAAUUUUGUUUCAGGAUAAUUUGCACCAAACUGAUGGAAAUGCAAGCUUUCUUCGUGCUGCCAGAGCAGGAAAUUUGGAAAAAGUAUUGGAAUACUUGAAAGGCAGUAUUGAUAUUAAUACUAGUAAUGCAGAAGUGGCUCUCACUGCCAAGAAGGAAGAAUUAAGAAGAUUAAAAAGAUCUAGAAGGUAAAAAGAAGAAAGAAACAGGGGGAAAAUGUAGGAAGAACAAAAAGACAAAAACAGACAUAUGGUGUACAGCCAUAUUAAAAAUAAAAUGUUAUGUGAAAAUUUUCAGUAAAAUUGUUAGAAUAAAGUUUUAAAAAUUAAUGCUGCGUCAGUAAAGAAAUAUUACUAAUACAGAAAUGAAUAAAAAGUUGACUGUUUUUAAUAGUUUUUCUUUUAAUAUUAUUAAUAUGAAAUAUUAAAUCACAAUAAUUAUGAUUAAGUUUUAUAAAAUGUUUCAGCUUAUUCUAUCAUUAAUUGUGAGGUGCUCUAUAUAAAUAAAAUAUAUUGA